rnacentral:lncRNA from 1 species
GUAGUCCGAAUAAGUGCAUAAAAUGCACUUAUCAAACACCCCCAAACUAAAACAUUUGUUCGUCCUCGAACAAAACAAAAUAAAACUUAGGUAUAACACAUUUCUAACCUAACAAAUCAUAAAUAAAAGACUCAACGUUGAACUACUUACCAUAUGCCUCAGGUUCGAAUUUAAGCAGUAUUUUAGAAAGAUCCAAACAACCAUCAAAAAUAAAAAAAAAAUUUGCUUAUCCGAUGCUCGAUUUAGUGUGUGUGAGAUUAGCCAACAUUGAAGUAACACCUAUAUUAGAAUACAACCAAUCAAGUGUUGUUGAUUUAUUCAUAGUCCCAACCCUCUUGUGGUCAUUUUUCCUCACACCUCUCGUGUAACAAUCACUCCUUAUGCUUUUCUCUCCAAUCCUGAGGUAUUUCUAGUAUAUAAGGGGUUCCUAAAAAUCAUUAUGAUGCAUUUUUCCGCACAAGUGUUCAGAAUUAGAUACUUAUAAACCUAGAAAGAGAGAUAGUAAGUCUUUCUCAUAACCACACCGCCAAUCUCUAGAAUUCAAAUCUCAAAGUCAUUAUUAGGCACAUCUCACUUUUGAUAAAUUAUAUCUCAAAUUUUCUUCUUCAUUUUUUUCUUUUCUUUUUUCUUUUUUUUUUUUGACAUCUCCUGUGCAAGACUUCUCUUCAUUAAGCUUUCUAAAUGACCCAUGUAGCGAGUUUUAGGCCGAUGACUCCCAAGUCAGACGACUAUAGGGCAUCAGGUUUUUAGAUACCCUUGCAGGCUUAAUAACCCGAGUCAAAAAGGCUACGAAAAUAAGUAGAAGAUGUGUUGCUUUUUCUUUUGAUAUGAGAAUCCAACUGUUUAUUUUUUUUUAUUUUUUUUUCUUAUGUGCAAAGCUUCUUUCCAUUAAGCUUUCUAAAUGACCCAUGUAACGAGUUUUAGGCCGAUGACUCCCAAGUCAGACGACUAUAGGGCAUCAGGUUUUUAGAUACCCUUGCAGGCUUAAUCACUCGGGUCAUAAAGGCUACAAAAAGAAGUAAAAAAAAUGUAUAAUGAUCAGUGCCUGUUUUAGACUUUUUAACUCAAACCCUUUCAAUUAACGUUGGGGUCCGAGAAUUCCAAACCAUCGCACUUCUAGGAAGACAAGCACUAACCUUCUCACCCCCAAACUACUUUUUUUUCAGUUUGGUUUCUAAAUAAGGUACUUGGGAAUUUUAUUCAAACCUAAGUCAACAACAUCAACAAUUUUUCUUAUGUGCAAAGCUUCUUUCCAUUAAACUUUCUAAAUGACCCAUGUAACGAGUUUUAGGCCGAUGACUCCCAAGUCAGACGACUAUAGGGCAUCAGGUUUUUAGAUACCCUUGUAGGCUUAAUCACUCGGGUCAUAAAGGCUACAAAAAGAAGUAAAAAAAAAUGUAUAAUGAUCAGUGCCCGUUUUAGACUUUUUAACUCAAACCCUUUCAAUUAACGUUGGGGUCCGAGAAUUCCAAACCAUCGCACUUCUAGGAAGACAAGCACUAACCUUCUCACCCCCAAACUACUUUUUUUUCAGUUUGGUUUCUAAAUAAGGUACUUGGGAAUUUUAUUCAAACCUAAGUCAACAACAUCAACAAUUCCACAAAAAUUACAUUGUAUACCAACAUAAGUGAUAAAUCAUUAUGGCUCUGUGCUCAAAUAAUCAAAUCUAACAUGGAUAAGUUUUAAAGUGAAAGUACAAGUUAAGAUGUUAUCCGGCAUCUAACUAAAUAUGUACUCAAUUCAAACAAAUAAUAUCUUCAUAGACGGCAAGUCGUCAACGCUACUAAACAAAUUUUUUAUUUUUUAUUUUUAUGAAUGAUUUUUUUAUUUAUUUAUUUUAUAACAGUUAUACGGACUCGAUUAGCAGUUGAAAAAUAUGUAUUCUAGGUAUCCUAAUACUCACCCACCCCCAAACUAAAAUACUACAUUGUCCCCAAUGUAAAAACUAAACAAAGUAAGGGGUAAGGAUCAAAAACUCCCCGGGGUAAAUGUGGAUGCGAUGAAUAAUCAGGCUGCUCCAAUUGGUAGGUAUCAUGACAGCUGUAGCUUUUCUUUGUUGUGAGGCUUUAAUUCUCUGUUUCAAGUAUUCAAAAUAAAUAUUAGUGAUAGCACACAAAAGUUAGAUAUUUGCAAUAAGUUCAUACCAAAAAAGAUUGAGAUUUAGGUACCACCUUAAAGAUGCAUAUCACAUCAAUGUAAGCUCAAUAGAAUGCUAAGAUGUUAACGAUGAACCUAGAUAACCAUGUCAAAAUAAAAUGAACUUAAUAAAUAAAUAUGCCUAAGUUACUGGUCCAGGUCUGAAAGUAUCACUUAAAAUGUGUCCAACACUACCCAUUUAAAUGCAUGAGUUCCUAAAUUAAUGUCGUCCCUAAAACUACAUGUAAUGCAAUAGUUAAUUAAAAUAGCAAAAGGAGAUAGAAGAAUGGGUUGCCUCCCAUUAAGCGCUCGAUUUAUAGUCUAGAGCUCGACUUUUUGUUCAUUCAUUCUGGUGUUGCAAGUUGAACGGUUGAUUUUUCUUUCGAAAAUUCACCGUUCCAAUAUGGCUUCAACCGUUGUCCAUUAACCUUAAAGGUCCCUUUACUUUCAUGCAUUAUUUCAACUGUUCCAUAAGGAAACACCUUGACUAUGGUGUAUGGCCCUGACCACCUAGACCUCAAUUUACCAGGAAAAAGUUUGAGUCUAGAAUUGUACAGCAAAACUUGUUGCCCAACCUCAAACUUCCUUCUUUGAAUGUGCAUGUCAUGCCAUUUUUUUGUGCGCUCCUUGUAGAGUUUUGCAUUCUCAUAGGCUUCCAAUCGAAACUCAUCCAUUUCAUUCAACUGAAGUAAUCUCUUUUUACCGGCGGCCUUUAAAUUAAAGUUCAAGUUCUUGACUGCCCAAUAAGCUCGGUGCUCCAAUUCAACUGGCAAAUGACACGCUUUUCCAAAAACCAAACGAUAAGGAGACAUGCCUAUAGGUGUUUUGAAAGCCGUUCUGUAAGCCCACAAAGCAUCAUCAAGUUUCUUAGACCAAUCUUUUCUUGAAGAACUCACUGUUACCUCCAGUAUCCGCUUUAAUUCUCGAUUGGAGAUUUCAACUUGACCGCUGGUCUGAGGGUGAUAAGGGGUAGCUAUACGAUGUCGGACGCCAUAUUUAGCCAGCAAAGACUCAAACUGACGAUUGCAAAAGUGUUUGCCCCCAUCACUUAUGAUAGCUCGAGGUGUACCAUAACGGGUGAAAAUAUACUUCUUUAGGAACCCAAUAACAACCUUCGCAUCGUUGGUUGGCAAUGCUACUGCUUCCACCCACUUAGAAACAUAAUCGACGGCGACAAGUAUAUACUGAUUCGAGAAUGAUGAGGGAAAUGGCCCCAUAAAGUCGAUCCCCCACACAUCAAAGAGCUCUACCUCCAGAAUGCUAUUCAGAGGCAUCUCGUUCUUUCCUGAGAUAUUUCCCGUGCGCUGACAUCUAUCACACCUCUUCACAAAUUCAAAUGUAUCUCGAAAUAUCGAUGGCCAGUAAAAACCAGACUGUAGAAUUUUAGCGGCAGUCUUUGAUGCGCCAAAGUGUCCAGCAUAGGCAGAUGAAUGACAUUGCUCGAGUAUCUGAGGGAUCUCUUCUUUAGGAAUACACCGCCUAAUAAUUUGAUCUGGACCCCGCCUGUAAAGAAUAGGGUCCUCCCAAAAAUAAUACUUCAAGUCAGAAAAGAAUUUCUUCUUUUGAUGACUUGAAUAGUCUGGUGGAAUAAUGGAUUUGGCCAGAUAAUUCACUAUAUCAGCAUACCAAGGUACAUCCUCUAUAUUGAAAAUCUGUUCAUCUGGAAAGAUCUCAUUUAUGUUCACUGACUUUUCCUGUUCUCCAUGCUCAAGUCGGGAUAGGUGAUCAGCUACUAAGUUUUCACUUCCCUUCUUAUCUCUUAUCUCUAAAUCAAAUUCUUGCAGAAGUAAUACCCAUCUGAUUAGUCUUGGCUUUGCAUCUUUCUUUGUCAUCAGAUACUUUAAAGCUGCAUGAUCUGUAUAAACUAUUACUUUUGAUCCAAUAAGAUAAGAACGAAAUUUAUCAAAGGCGUAGACUACAGCUAAAAGUUCCUUCUCAGUGGUGGCAUAGUUCAGCUGUGCAUCAUUCAAUGUCUUGCUUGCAUAAUAGAUCACGUGAAAAAAUUUAUCUCGUCGUUGUCCCAAUACUGCUCCCACUGCAUAGUCACUUGCAUCACACAUUAGUUCAAAGGGCAAACUCCAAUCUGGUGCAACAAUUACUGGCGCUGAAAUUAACUUCUCCUUUAAAGUGUUGAAAGACAAUAAACAUUCUUCAGAGAAGUUGAAAGGGACAUCCUUGACUAGUAGAUUGCAUAAUGGUUUAGUGAUCUUAGAGAAGUCUUUGAUGAAGCGCCGAUAAAAUCCAGCAUGACCAAGGAAACUGCGAACACCCUUGACCGAGGUUGGUGGUGGUAACUUCUCAAUAACUUGAAUCUUUGCCUUGUCCACUUCAAUCCCUUUAGCUGAAAUUCGAUGCCCCAACACGAUGCCCUCUUGUACCAUGAAGUGACACUUUUCCCAGUUUAAUACCAAAUUUGUUUCCUUACAUCGCUGCAAGACCAAGUUUAAGUGCUCAAGACACUCAUCAAACGAAGAACCAAAAAUUGAGAAAUCAUCCAUAAAGACCUCUAUGAAUUUUUCCACCAUAUCAGAAAAGAUGGCCAUCAUGCAACGCUGAAAUGUGGCGGGAGCAUUACAUAGACCAAAUGGCAUCCUACGAUAUGCAAAGGUGCCAUAGGGACAAGUAAACGUAGUCUUCUCUUGAUCCUCGGGCGCUAUCGAAAUCUGAUUAUAACCGGAGUAUCCAUCGAGAAAACAAUAAUGGGAGUGACCUGCUAACCUUUCCAACAUCUGAUCAAUAAAUGGGAGGGGAAAGUGGUCCUUUCGAGUAGCAGUGUUGAGUUUGCGAUAAUCAAUGCAUACCCUCCAUCCCGUAACAGUUCUGGUGGGAAUCAAUUCAUUCUUCUCAUUUUGCACUACUGUAAUACCUCCCUUUUUCGGCACAACUUGAACAGGACUAAUCCAUGCACUGUCUGAAAUAGGAUAGAUGAUCCCUGCAUCUAAAAGCUUCAAAACUUCUGCUCUGACUACCUCUUUCAUAUUUGGAUUGAGUCUCCUCUGGCUGUCUAUACUUGGUCUAAAAUUAUCCUCCAUGAGAAUUUUAUGCAUGCAGAUUGUAGGGCUGAUCCCUCUGAUGUCAGCAAUAGACCAUCCAAUAGCUGUUUUAUUUUCUCUGAGUACUCUUAGCAAUCUCUCUUCUUCAAGCUUACUAAUGGAGUUUGAAAUAAUAACAGGCAAUGUGGAAGAUUUUCCCAGGUAGGCAUAACGAAGGUGAGAUGGCAACUGCUUGAGCUCUAACUCAGGGGGCCUUUGAAUUGAUGGCAAAGGCUUUGUAGGACCAGUGCCUAAUUCCUCAAAGUGUGGUUUGCGCCUAUAUGGAGGAUUAGCUUCAAGAUUUCUUGCACAUGUUUCAAUCUCAUUAGAAUCAGAUUGAGUAGAUUGAGAGUGUACAAUGCAUGCCUCAUAUGGAUCUGGUGGAUUAUGCAACGGGAACGUAUCAUUUACUGCAUUAUCAAUCACAUCGAUCUGGAAGCAACUGUCUGACUCUGCUGGAUAUCUUAUGGCCUUGAACACAUUAAAUGUGACAUGUUCUUCACCAAGUCUCAAAAUCAGUUGACCUUUUUGCACAUCAAUAAGGGCUCUACCGGUAGCUAAAAAUGGUCGGCCCAAAAUAAGUGGAAUAUCCCUAUCCUCCUCCAUGUCAAGAAUGAGAAAAUCAGCUGGGAAGAUGAAUUUGUCCACUUUCACCAAGAUAUCCUCAAUAAUUCCUCUUGGGUGUGUGAUAGACCGAUCAGCUAGCUGUAAAGUCACUGUAGUUGCCUUAGCCUCCCCUAAACCCAGUUUUCUAAAA